CUGUGGCCUGGUUCAAGUAAUCCAGGAUAGGCUGUAUCCAUUCUAACUCGCCUAUUCUUGGUUACUUGCACUGGGACAGGG
rfam:Taeniopygia guttata chromosome 2, whole genome shotgun sequence.